rnacentral:tRNA from 2 species
GAUUAAAAUUGUUGGACAAAUUUUGUUUUGAAAGCAAAUCAAAGGGGUUCAAUUCCCCUUUUAAUCU